rnacentral:rRNA from 1 species
UACGUAGGGUGCGAGCGUUGUCCGGAAUUACUGGGCGUAAAGAGCUCGUAGGUGGUUUGUCGCGUUGUUCGUGAAAUUCCCUGGCUUAACUGGGGGCGUGCGGGCGAUACGGGCAGACUGGAGUACUGCAGGGGAGACUGGAAUUCCUGGUGUAGCGGUGGAAUGCGCAGAUAUCAGGGGGAACACCGGUGGCGAAGGCGGGUCUCUGGGCAGUAACUGACGCUGAGGAGCGAAAGCGUGGGGAGCGAACAGG